rnacentral:rRNA from 1 species
GACGUAGGAGGCGAGCGUUGUCCGGAUUCAUUGGGCGUAAAGAGCACGCAGGCGGUUUGGCAAGUCGGAUGUGAAAACCCGGAGCUCAACUCCGGGCGUGCAUCCGACACUGCCCGACUAGAGGUAGGUAGGGGAGAUCGGAAUUCCUGGUGUAGCGGUGAAAUGCGCAGAUAUCAGGAGGAACACCGGUGGCGAAGGCGGAUCUCUGGGCCUUACCUGACGCUCAGGUGCGAAAGCUAGGGGAGCGAACAGG